rnacentral:lncRNA from 1 species
CGCACCGUCCUCAUAUUGCUCGACUACUGGAGAUUUCCACAUGAUAUCGACAGGGAGGAUGGAUUAUGAUCUGUAGACCAGGAAGUAGGAUGAGUACCCUGUAGUCUUGGACGGCUGGGUGCGGAGCCCCCAGAGGACAUUGGGUAGCUACUUGAGCCACUUCCCCCUUUGGUGUUGCCAAUUGAGGGAUAUGGGUACCUCAUGGGUCCCCACCGACUAGGAUAUUGGUCGGUCCUGACAAGUGGGCCCGCCCAACCAGAACGUGCGGGCCAAGGACUUGAAGAUACUUGGAGCAUAAGUCAAGGAGGCCAAGUAGUUCAAAUCAUCCCGGAUAUUGCAGGAUACGAAUUGUAAUCCGACUCAGAUUGCUUUCCAUGUAACAACUAACUAAAUUAGAUUCAAACCGACUUGUAAUCCUAGGUCGUCAGCCUAUAUAAGGCGGCCAAGGGUGCCUCCCUAGGGCAUCUCAAUUCUUCAUGAACAAUACUAGCAAUACAAUCUACCAGAAUACAGGAUGUAGGGUAUUACUCUCUGGAGGCCCGAACCUGUCUAAACCCUUGUGUUCUCGUGAUCACCUUCGAGUUCUUGGUUUCACAAUCCUUCCUGCCUACAAAUCAACCACUUGGGUAACCCCCUGAUAGACUAUUAGGCUACUAAAUCUGAAAGUUGGUGCACCAGGUAGGGGUGAUUGUGAGAUCCUCCCCAGCGAGCUUGAUGGCAUCAUGCCCCGGCGUCAUCUUUCCCGAGAGCAUGAAGGACUUCCUCGCCAAUCCGAUCCAGCCCCACUUUAGGAGCAUGCCGGUGGACUCCAACUCCACCACCUUCUCUGCCAACUCAGCAUCCGUCGCCAGCUCAGCAUCCAUCGGAUCUGCUUUGACAGAGCGAGGUCUUCACCCGAAAAUCAUCACGCCACUUGCCCAGCAG